rnacentral:rRNA from 1 species
AGCGAACGCUGGCGGCAGGCCUAACACAUGCAAGUCGAACGGAUCCUUCGGGAUUAGUGGCGGACGGGUGAGUAACACGUGGGAACGUGCCCUUUGGUUCGGAACAACUCAGGGAAACUUGAGCUAAUACCGGAUGAGCCCUUAGGGGGAAAGAUUUAUCGCCGAAGGAGCAGCCCGCGUCUGAUUAGGUAGUUGGUGGGGUAAAGGCCUGCCAAGCCGACGAUCAGUAGCUGGUCUGAGAGGAUGAUCAGCCACACUGGGACUGAGACACGGCCCAGACUCCUACGGGAGGCAGCAGUGGGGAAUAUUGGACAAUGGGCGCAAGCCUGAUCCAGCCAUGCCGCGUGAGUGAUGAAGACCUUCGGGUUGUAAAGCUCUUUCGCACACGACGAUGAUGACGGUAGUGUGAGAAGAAGCCCCGGCUAACUUCGUGCCAGCAGCCGCCGUAAGAC